rnacentral:piRNA from 2 species
UGCUACCAAUGCUCAUUAUACAAUAAGCA